rnacentral:rRNA from 1 species
AUGGGGGAGGCCUCCGAGUAUGACGGGGUGGAUGUGGCGGCUGUAUCGGCGAGGUUGCUGGAGCUGGUGGCCGACGACGACGUGACGGCGCUCGUCGACCUUCUCGCCGCGCACCCGCUCCUCGCGGAUGAGCCGGCGCCGUGGUACUCUCCGGCGCGGGGCGCGGAGCCCAUGACGCCGCUCAUGGUCGCCGCCGCGUACGGGUCCCUGGCUUGCCUCGACGCCCUCCUCUCGCCGCCCCACCUCGCCGACCCCAACCGCGCCUCCGCCUCCUCGCUCUCCACCCCGCUCCACCUCGCCGCCGCGGGCGGCGCUCCAUCCGCACCCACCACCGUUUCCCGCCUCCUCGCUGCCGGCGCCGACCCUACCCUCCUUGACCAUCUCCACCGCCGGCCGUCAGACCUCGUCGCGCUGCCGCCAAACUCGUUGCCCCUCAAGAACCACAUCCUCUCACUCCUUGGCGCCCGGAAGGAGUGGCCACCGGACCCCUCACUCCCGGACAUCAAGAACGGCGCAUACGCUUCCGACGACUUCCGCAUGUAUUCCUUCAAGGUCCGCGCGUGCUCCAGGGCCUACUCCCACGACUGGACGGAGUGCCCCUUCGUCCACCCAGGAGAGAACGCGCGGCGGAGGGAUCCGAGGAGGUACCACUACAGCUGCGUGCCGUGCCCGGAGUUCAAGAAGGGCGCCGGGUGCAGGAGAGGGGACAUGUGCGAGUAUGCGCACGGGGUGUUCGAGAGCUGGCUCCACCCGGCGCAGUACCGGACGCGGCUCUGCAAGGACGGCGUCGGCUGCGCGCGCCGCGUCUGCUUCUUCGCUCACACGCCGGAGGAGCUCCGGCCGCUGUACGUGUCCACAGGCUCGGCCGUGCCGUCGCCCCGCGGGGCGAUGGAGAUGGCCGCCAUGGGGAUGGGGCUGUCAUCUCCGGGAUCUUCGUUCACGCCGCCGCUGUCGCCGUCCGGUGGAGGGAGUGGCAUGGCGUGGCCGCAGCCUAACUUGCCGGCGCUGUGCCUCCCCGGGAGCGCAGGGAACUUGCACCUGAGCCGGCUGCGCACCUCGCUGAGCGCGAGGGCCAUGGCGGUCGACGAGCUUCUGGCCUCGGGGGACUAUGACAACCACCUUGGAUCGCCUGCCUCUGUGCGGUCGGCGAGGGGGAAGGCGCUUGUGCCGUCAAAUCUGGACGAACUGUUCUCGGCGGAGAUGGCGGCCUCCCACUCGCCGCGGUACGCCGACCAGGGCGGCGCUGCGUUCUCGCCGACGCACAAGGCCGCCUUCCUGAACCAGUUCCAGCAGCAUCAGAGCUUGCUCUCGCCACGGGCUGCGGCCACCCCAGAGCCUGUCUCACCAAUGAGCUCCCGGCUGCUCGCUGCGUUGGCGCAGCGGGAGAUGAUGCAGCAGCAGACACUGCGAAGCAUGAGCUCAAGAGACCUGGGCUCCAGCGCCCCGCUCCUGGUCGGCUCACCGGUGGUGGGCUCUAGCUGGUCCAAAUGGGGCCUCCCCUCGGGCACCCCAGAUUGGGGCGCUGACAACGACGAGCUUGGCCGUCUCAAGCGGUCCUCGUCGUUUGAUCUCCGGUCUGGGGCCAACACCGAUGAGCCUGACCUCUCAUGGGUCAAUACCUUAGUAAAGGAGCCCACGCCGGAGAAAUCAUCAACCAACGGGACCAUGGCAACAGAGUCUAUUGGCAUCUUGGGCCGAUCAGCAAGCCACCACGAGAGCAUUGCCGGUGAUGACAGUGCCAUCUUGGGUCGAACAGCGAACCACCGUGAGGGCAUCAUCGACGGUGAGGAGGACGCCGCCACUGGUGUCAUCGGUGGGUGGCUCGAACAGCUCCAGCUCGAUGAGAUGGUAGUUUAG